rnacentral:misc_RNA from 1 species
GAAAUGCGAUAAGUAAUGUGAAUUGCAGAAUUCAGUGAAUCAUCGAAUCUUUGAACGCACAUUGCGCCCGCCAGUAUUCUGGCGGGCAUGCCUGUUCGAGCGUCAUUACAACCCUCAGGCCCCCGGGCCUGGCGUUGGGGAUCGGCGGAAGCCCCCUGCGGGCACAACGCCGUCCCCCAAAUACAGUGGCGGUCCCGCCGCAGCUUCCAUUGCGUAGUAGCUAACACCUCGCAACUAGAGAGCGGCGCGGCCACGCCGUAAAACACCCAACUUCUGAAUGUUGACCUCGAAUCAGGUAGGAAUACCCGCUGAACUUAAGC